rnacentral:misc_RNA from 1 species
AAGUCGUAACAAGGUUUCCGUAGGUGAACCUGCGGAAGGAUCAUUAACACUUUAUAAUAAUUUUAUUAUUAUUUUUACCCACACUUUUGGAUGAAUUAUUUUUCUUUUUAUCUUUUUAUCAAUUAUUUUAACCCCAAAAAAACAAAUACAUUAACUUAUAUAAGCCUGAUAUUCUUUGUAACAUAAGAAUUUUUUUUAAAAAAACCAAAAAAACAACUCUUAACAACGGAUAUCUUGGCUCUC